UGCAGUCGAGCGGACCUUUCGGGGUCAGCGGCGGACGGGUGAGUAACGCGUGGGAACGUGCCUUCCGGUUCGGAAUAACCCUGGGAAACUAGGGCUAAUACCGGAUACGCCCUUAUGGGGAAAGGUUUACUGCCGGAAGAUCGGCCCGCGUCUGAUUAGCUAGUUGGUGGGGUAACGGCCUACCAAGGCGACGAUCAGUAGCUGGUCUGAGAGGAUGAUCAGCCACACUGGGACUGAGACACGGCCCAGACUCCUACGGGAGGCAGCAGUGGGGAAUAUUGGACAAUGGGCGCAAGCCUGAUCCAGCCAUGCCGCGUGAGUGAUGAAGGCCUUAGGGUUGUAAAGCUCUUUUAUCCGGGACGAUAAUGACGGUACCGGAGGAAUAAGCCCCGGCUAACUUCGUGCCAGCAGCCGCGGUAAUACGAAGGGGGCUAGCGUUGCUCGGAAUCACUGGGCGUAAAGGGCGCGUA
rnacentral:rRNA from 1 species